rnacentral:rRNA from 1 species
GGACUACAGGGGUUUCUAAUCCUGUUUGCUCCCCACGCUUUCGCACCUCAGCGUCAGUACCGGGCCAGUGAGCCGCCUUCGCCACUGGUGUUCUUGCGAAUAUCUACGAAUUUCACCUCUACACUCGCAGUUCCACUCACCUCUCCCGGACUCAAGGUCACCAGUAUCGGAGGCAGUUCUGGAGUUGAGCUCCAGGAUUUCACCCCCGACUUAGUAACCCGCCUACGUGCGCUUUACGCCCAGUGAUUCCGAGCAACGCUAGCCCCCUUCGUAUUACCGCGGCGGCUGGCAC